UACGUAGGGGGCAAGCGUUGUCCGGAAUCAUUGGGCGUAAAGCGCUCGUAGGCGGUCUGUUGCGUCCGCUGUGAAAACUUGGGGCUUAACCCUGAGCUUGCGGUCGAUACGGGCAUGACUGGAGUUCGGCAGGGGAGACUGGAAUUCCUGGUGUAGCGGUGAAAUGCGCAGAUAUCAGGAGGAACACCGGUGGCGAAGGCGGGUCUCUGGGCCGAUACUGACGCUGAGGAGCGAAAGCGUGGGGAGCGAACAGG
rnacentral:rRNA from 1 species